rnacentral:rRNA from 1 species
UACGGGGGGGGCAAGCGUUGUUCGGAAUUACUGGGCGUAAAGGGCGCGUAGGCGGCUCGCUAAGUUGGAUGUGAAAACUCUGGGCUUAACCCAGAGCCUGCAUUCAAAACUGACGAGCUAGAGUUCUGGAGGGGAUAGCGGAAUUCCUGGUGUAGCGGUGAAAUGCGUAGAUAUCAGGAGGAACACCGGUGGCGAAGGCGGCUAUCUGGACAGAAACUGACGCUGAUGCGCGAAAGCUAGGGGAGCAAACAGG